rnacentral:rRNA from 1 species
GACGAACGCUGGCGGCGUGCUUAACACAUGCAAGUCGAACGGAAAGGCCCCUUUGGGGGUACUCGAGUGGCGAACGGGAGAGUAACACGUGAGUAACAUGCCCUUGACUUCGGGAUAACUUCAGUAAACUGGGGCUAAUACCGGAUAGGAAUCAUUGCCGUAUGCUGGGGGUUGGACAGCUUCGUCGGUCUUGGGUGGACUCGCGGCUUAUCAGCUUGUUGGUGGGGUAGUGGCUUACCAAGGCUUUGACGGGUAGGCGGCCUGAGAGGGCGACCGGCCACAGUGGGACUGAGAUACGGCCCAGACUCCUACGGGAGGCAGCAGUGGGGAAUAUUGCACAAUGGGCGGAAGGCGGAUGCAGCAACGCCGCGGGCGGGAGGACGGGCUUCGGGUUGUAAACCGGUUUCAGCGGGGGCGAAGCUUGUGGUGACGGUACCGGCAGAAGAAGCACCGGCUAACUACGUG